rnacentral:rRNA from 1 species
UAUAUAAAUUUACUUUCAAAUCCACUUUCAAUUAUUUUUUCAUAAUAAUAUUCAUAUAAAUAAAUUUAAUGUAACUCAUCUCUACUUAAAUAUAAGCUACACCUUGAUCUGAAAUAAAAUUAUUUAUAAAUUUAAGAAAAUUAUUAUUCUUUAAAAAUAUUCUGAUAACGACGGUAUAUAAACUGAUCACAAAUAUAAGUAAGGUCCAACGGGGAUUAUCAAUUAUAGGACAAGUUCCUCUGAAUAGACUAAAAUACCGCCAAAUUUUUUAAGUUUGAAGAACAAAACUAUUAC